AUGGCUGCUGCGGCCUCUUCCUCGGCCUCGCCGCUUCUCCUCCCGUCAGGGCCGCGUGGCGCUAGCUCGAGGGCCUGGCUUCCCAGCGGCGGCGGCGGCAGGGCGUUCAUCAGAGGUGGCAACACCAGGGCGCCGUGCUGCUGCAGGGCUGCCGCUGGCGGAAGCGCGGCGCAAUGCGGAGGAGCUGACGACGACAACGGCGGCGUGGUCACGCGGAGGGGCGUGUUUGGGGCGGUGGUUCUGGGGGCCGCGCUCGACGCCGUCGCCGGCGGGCUGCCGCCGGAGGAGAAGCCCAAGCUCUGCGACGCCGCCUGCGAGGCAGAGCUCGAGAAUCUGCCUAUGGUGACUACGGAGUCCGGUUUGCAGUACAAGGACAUCAAAGUCGGCCAAGGGCCGAGUCCGCCCAUUGGCUUCCAGGUUGCUGCAAACUGCAUCGCCAUGGUGCCAAACGGACAGAUAUUCGAUAGCUCGCUGGAGAAAGGCCAGCCCUACAUAUUCCGUGUUGGCGCAGGACAGGUGAUAAAGGGACUUGAUGAAGGGAUCUUGUCGAUGAAAGUUGGAGGACUGCGUCGGUUGUACAUACCCGGUCAAUUAGCAUUCCCUAAGGGCCUUACUUCAGCACCCGGAAGGCCAAGAGUGGCUCCGAGCAGCCCCGUCGUAUUUGACGUCAACCUAUUGUUUGUACCUGGUCUUGACGACGAUGAGUGA
rnacentral:rRNA from 1 species